CUAAUUUUUUUGUGUUUCAUAGAGAUGGGGCUCUCACUCUAUUGCCCAGGCUGGUCUUGAACUCCUGACCUCAAGGGAUCCUCCUGUCUCAGCCUUCCAACUGUUAGGAUUACAGUUUUCCAAAGGCCAUGUCCUCUUGUUUUGUCCUGGACUCCCUGAGAAACUGAAGAGCAACAGGCAAAUGUCUUCCUUAUUGAGCGUCUUCCUUAAAAUGUAAGAUUUUCUUCUCCCAUUUCAAUAAUCACCACUACUUUAACUGCAUUUUAUUUCAUUUUUUGGUUCAUUUUUGUUAUCCUGCUCUCAAAUCCUCCCUGCCAUUUCACAUGUGCAUUAAAAUGUCAGUGCCCAAAAUUGGCAUGAUACUUUAAGGGUGUGACCAAUUUCUAAGUUUAGCAGAAGGAUAUUUUCCCAGCUCCUGGAUGUCAGAGACCUAUUAAUAUAUUUCACUAUCACAGUUAGCUUUAUAAAAACAGCCAUACUAUACUGCUGACUCAUACUCAGCUGGUGGUCUCAAGCCUAACCAGUUUAUUAAACUAGAAAUGAUGUCCAAUAUGUUAGAUGACAGAAAAAAAUAUUUGAAAAGUUCCUGGGAUUUUGAACCCUGGGCCAAAAUUUGAAGCUUAUCAGGAAGACCACGAAAAGCUCAUCAUUUAUGUUUAAAAAAAAAACCACCAAUAUGAGUACAAGAUAAGGAUGAUUUCCCUUAACACAUAAACAUUGAAACUUUUUGGAUUACCAUGAUUUAAUAUUGGCAACAAUAUUGCACAAUGUAAUGUGCAAAAUUCAUUACAUUUUUUGACAGCCAUUUCACAUUGUUGCCAAUGUGAAAAAAAAAUUAAUGGCUAACUGUUCACAGUCUCUCCCUUUUCUCCUUCAGCCAAGGAAAGUUCUUUCUUGGCAAGUUCAGUUCCUUGGCCUUGUUAAGAGAUUGAUGGAUCGAGUAAGAGGGAAAAGGUUUGAUUUAAUCUCUUAGAAAAGUUGGAGAGCUGCACAAGAAAAAAGAAGAUCCUGAGGAUGAGAAGUUGCUGAGAAAGGCAAACGCCAAUAAGCAAUGGCUGAGACAGCAAGUUUGGGAAGCUUAUGAAGGAGAGAAAAGAAAAAGAAAUUAGAUUAGCUGCUACGUCGUGGCAAGGGGGGCUUUUCAGAUGAGGAACGAGAUUUUUAAUGAAGUG
rnacentral:lncRNA from 10 species